rnacentral:rRNA from 1 species
UACGUAGGGUGCGAGCGUUAAUCGGAAUUACUGGGCGUAAAGCGUGCGCAGGCGGUUUGUUAAGACAGAUGUGAAAUCCCCGGGCUUAACCUGGGAACUGCAUUUGUGACUGGCAAGCUAGAGUAUGGCAGAGGGGGGGUAGAAUUCCACGUGUAGCAGUGAAAUGCGUAGAGAUGUGGAGGAAUACCGAUGGCGAAGGCAGCCCCCUGGGCCCAAUACUGACGCUCAUGCACGAAAGGCGUGGG